GUCCGUAGGCGGACUCGUAAGUCAGUGGUGAAAUCUCAUAGCUUAACUAUGAAACUGCCAUUGAUACUGCGGGUCUUGAGUAAGGUAGAGGUAGCUGGAAUAAGUAGUGUAGCGGUGAAAUGCAUAGAUAUUACUUAGAACACCAAUUGCGAAGGCAGGUUACCAUGUCUUAACUGACGCUGAUGGACGAAAGCGUGGGGAGCGAACAGGAUUAGAUACCCUGGUAGUCCACGCCGUAAACGAUGCUAACUCGUUUUUGGGUUUUCGGAUUCAGAGACUAAGCGAAAGUGAUAAGUUAGCCACCUGGGGA
rnacentral:rRNA from 1 species